AUUGGGUUGGGCUUCAGGAUGUCUUCCAUUCCGGAGGAGGAGGACGGGCUCCACCAAGUCAUCUGGACCGGAAACUGGGAAAGUGGAUAUCCACAAAGGAGAGGCACUGCAUCGUAUGGUUAAGAACUUGGACUCUGGAGUCGGUUGCUGCCAGAAAUACUGAACUUCAGAAACCGUCAAAAGUGGUUGCCCCCGGGCGUGACUGAAGAUGAAGAGUCAGGAGGGACAAGUCGGAGGCAUCUCCCACGAACACGACCUUGAGAACGAAGCCCCCACAUCCACAGGUCACCCUAGUCCUGUGAGUGUGCUGCCACCAGAGCCCCACCAGGAACCUGUGAAUGAACUACAAAGAUUAGUAGAAAGGUGGUGUCGCUGCCCUGGCUCCGGUGCUGAGGACAGAACCCCGUGCACCGUCCCUCCUCGGCCAGCGUGUGCCGAGAGAACUGGAGCCGCCUGCUGCUCUUUAAAGCACCGCCUAGACCUGCCUCCCUCUUGGGCCUUCUGGGACGCCCUUCAGACGCAGUUCCUCUCCCUCCGUGGCCUUGUCCCGAGCUUGCAGCCGACACCUGCUUUCUGAGGCCUCUGGGUGUGGGAUUUUAUACGAGGCCGGGGCCGGAUCCAGGAAGAUGGGAGCAUCCCUGCCUCGUGGGGCUGACGUCCUGGCAGGGAACAUGGGCAUAAAACAUGUUGCUUGUUCUCUGUCUGGUUCUUAGGUUUCCUUCCACCUCCUUUUAUAGUUGCU